AGAUUGAACGCUGGCGGCAGGCCUAACACAUGCAAGUCGAGCGGUAGAGAGGUGCUUGCACCUCUUGAGAGCGGCGGACGGGUGAGUAAUGCCUAGGAAUCUGCCUAGUGGUGGGGGAUAACGUUCGGAAACGGACGCUAAUACCGCAUACGUCCUACGGGAGAAAGCGGGGGACCUUCGGGCCUCGCGCCAUUAGAUGAGCCUAGGUCGGAUUAGCUAGUUGGUGAGGUAAUGGCUCACCAAGGCGACGAUCCGUAACUGGUCUGAGAGGAUGAUCAGUCACACUGGAACUGAGACACGGUCCAGACCUCCUACGGGAGCAGCAGUGGGGAAUAGUUGACAAUGGG
rnacentral:rRNA from 1 species